rnacentral:rRNA from 2 species
UGGGGGAUAUUGGACAAUGGGGGCAACCCUUAUCCAGCGACGCCGCGUGAGGGAAGAAGGUUUUCGGAUUGUAAACCUCUGUCAGUGGGGACGAUAAUGACGGUACCCACGGAGGAAGCCACGGCUAACUACGUGCCAGCAGCCGCGGUAAUACGUAGGUGGCAAGCGUUGUCCGGAAUUACUGGGUGUAAAGGGAGUGUAGGCGGGGUCUCAAGUCAGAAGUGAAAAUUACGGGCUCAACUCGUAACCUGCUUUUGAAACUGGGACUCUUGAGUGAAGUAGAGGCAAGCGGAAUUCCUAGUGUAGCGGUGAAAUGCGUAGAUAUUAGGAGGAACACCAGUGGCGAAGGCGGCGUGCUGGGCUUUUACUGACGCUGAGGCUCGAAAGCGUGGGGAGCAAACAGG